GGGGAUGGAGCUUAUAUGGUACAAGCUACUGACUGUUAAUCAGAAGAGAGUAGGUUCGAGUCCACCCUCCGCA
rnacentral:tRNA from 1 species